rnacentral:lncRNA from 1 species
UACCACCAUCAUUAUUACCAUCAUCACCAUCACCAUCAUCAUCACCACCAUCACCAUCAUCACCAUCAUCACCACCAUCACCAUCAUCAUCACCACCGUCACCAUCACCACCAUCACCACCAUCACCAUCAUCACCAUCAUCAUCACAUCACCAUCACCAUCAUCAUCACCACCGUCACCAUCACCACCAUCACCAUCAUCACCACCAUCAUCACAUCACCAUCACCAUCAUCAUCACCAUCUUCACCAUCAUCACCAUCAUGCUCACCAUCAUCACCAUCAUCAUCACCAUCAUCAC